AUUGAACGCUGGCGGCAGGCCUAACACAUGCAAGUCGAGCGGAUGAAGGGAGCUUGCUCUUGGAUUCAGCGGCGGACGGGUGAGUAAUGCCUAGGAAUCUGCCUGGUAGUGGGGGAUAACGUCCGGAAACGGGCGCUAAUACCGCAUACGUCCUGAGGGAGAAAGUGGGGGAUCUUCGGACCUCACGCUAUCAGAUGAGCCUAGGUCGGAUUAGCUAGUUGGUGGGGUAAAGGCCUACCAAGGCGACGAUCCGUAACUGGUCUGAGAGGAUGAUCAGUCACACUGGAACUGAGACACGGUCCAGACUCCUACGGGAGGCAGCAGUGGGGAAUAUUGGACAAUGGGCGAAAGCCUGAUCCAGCCAUGCCGCGUGUGUGAAGAAGGUCUUCGGAUUGUAAAGCACUUUAAGUUGGGAGGAAGGGCAGUAAGUUAAUACCUUGCUGUUUUGACGUUACCAACAGAAUAAGCACCGGCUAACUUUGUG
rnacentral:rRNA from 1 species